rnacentral:rRNA from 1 species
GACGAACGCUGGCGGCGUGCUUAACACAUGCAAGUCGAACGGAAAGGCCCUGCUUUUGUGGGGUGCACGUUUGCCGCACGCGUGUGUAACACGUGAGUAACCUGCCCCUGUCUUUGUGAUAACUUCACGAGACAGCGGCGCAUACCGCAUAGGAGCUCCUGCUGCAUGUUGGUGGUUGGAAAGUUUCGGCUGUGGGGGAUCGACUCGUGGCUUAUCAGCUUGUUGAUGGGGUAGUGGCAUACCAAGCCUUUGACGGGUAGCCGGCCUGAGAGGGUGACCGGCCACAUUGGGACUGAGAUACGGCCCCAGCUCGUACGGGAGGCAGAAGUGGGGAAGAUUGACGAAUGGGCGGAAGCUGGAUGCAGAAGCGCCGCGGGCCGGAUAACGGCCUUAGGGGGGUAAACCGCUUGCGCCUGUAACGAAGCGUGAGUGACGGGAAUGUGUAAAGAAGCACCGGCUAACUACGUG